GUGGGGAAUAUUGGACAAUGGGCGAAAGCCUGAUCCAGCCAUGCCGCGUGUGUGAAGAAGGUCUUCGGAUUGUAAAGCACUUUAAGUUGGGAGGAAGGGCAGUAAGUUAAUACCUUGCUGUUUUGACGUUACCGACAGAAUAAGCACCGGCUAACUUCGUGCCAGCAGCCGCGGUAAUACGAAGGGUGCAAGCGUUAAUCGGAAUUACUGGGCGUAAAGCGCGCGUAGGUGGUUUUGUAAGUUGGAGGUGAAAUACCCGGGCUCAAACUGGGAACUGCCUCCAAAACUGCAUGACUAGAGUACGGUAGAGGGUAGUGGAAUUUCCUGUGUAGCGGUGAAAUGCGUAGAUAUAGGAAGGAACACCAGUGGCGAAGGCGACUACCUGGACUGAUACUGACACUGAGGUGCGAAAGCGUGGGGAGCAAACAGGAUUAGAUACCCGGGUAGUCC
rnacentral:rRNA from 1 species